UACCGUUAAAGUCUCGUUGGUGACCAGCGGAGGGAUCAUUACC
rnacentral:rRNA from 1 species